CCAGCAGCCGCGGUAAUUCCAGCUCCAAUAGCGUAUAUUAAAGUUGUUGCAGUUAAAAAGCUCGUAGUUGAAUUUCAGGAGGGGCCGCGCGGUCCGUCUUCGACGAGACCUCGCCGCCCUUCCUUCUUUGGCGGCUUCCCGUCCGGCCCUUCGGGGUCGCGUGCGGGGGCGCCAUCGUUUACUGUGAAAAAAUUAGAGUGUUCAAAGCAGGCUUUAGGCUUGAAUACAUUAGCAUGGAAUAAUAAGAUAGGACCGAGGUGCUAUUUUGUUGGUUGCGCAUCGCGGUAAUGAUUAAGAGGGAUAGUUGGGGGUAUUCAUAUUUAACUGUCAGAGGUGAAAUUCUUGGAUUAGUUAAAGAUGCACGACUGCGAAAGCAUUUACCAAGGAUGUUUUCAUUAAUCAAGAAC
rnacentral:rRNA from 1 species